rnacentral:tRNA from 1 species
CAUUAAAUGGCUGAGACCCAAGCAUCAAGCUUUUAACUUGUUAAACAGUAAAUUUACUUUUAAUGA